AUCGGAUUAUUGGGCGUAAGCGCGCGCAGGUGGUUUCUUAAGUCUGAUGUGAAAGCCCACGGCUCAACCGUGGAGGGUCAUUGGAAACUGGGAGACUUGAGUGCACAAGAGGAAAGUGGAAUUCCAUGUGUAGCGGUGAAAUGCGUAGAGAUAUGGAGGAACACCAGUGGCCAAGGCGACUUUCUGGUCUGUAACUGACACUGAUGCGCGGGGUCGUGG
rnacentral:rRNA from 1 species